CGGCGAUGCGUCCUGGUCGGA
rnacentral:siRNA from 1 species